rnacentral:rRNA from 1 species
GACGAACGCUGGCGGCGUGCCUAAUACAUGCAAGUCGAGCGGAAGUUGAAGAGCUUGCUCUUCAACUUUAGCGGCGGACGGGUGAGUAGCACGUGGGCAACCUGCCCUGCAGAUCGGGAUAACUCCGGGAAACCGGUGCUAAUACCGAAUAGUUUUCGCCACCUCCUGGUGGCGUACGGAAAGACGGUUUCGGCUGUCACUGCAGGAUGGGCCCGCGGCGCAUUAGCUAGUUGGUGGGGUAACGGCCCACCAAGGCGACGAUGCGUAGCCGACCUGAGAGGGUGAUCGGCCAAACUGGGACGGAGACACGGCCCAGACUCCUACGGGAGGCAGCAGUAGGGAAUCUUCCGCGAUGGACGAAAGUCGAACGGAGCAACGCCGCGUGAGUGACGAAGGUUUUCGGAUCGUAAAACUCUGUUGUGAGGGAAGAACAAGUACCAACUAACUACUGGUACCUUGACGGUACCUCACCAGAAAGCCACGGCUAACUACGUGCCAGCCGCCGCGGUAAAAC